GACAAACGCUGGCGGCGUGCCUAAUACAUGCAAGUAGAACGCUGAAGGAGGAGCUUGCUCUUCUGGAUGAGUUGCGAACGGGUGAGUAACGCGUAGGUAACCUGCCUGGUAGCGGGGGAUAACUAUUGGAAACGAUAGCUAAUACCGCAUAACAGUAGAUGUUGCAUGACAUUUACUUAAAAGGUGCAAUUGCAUCACUACCAGAUGGACCUGCGUUGUAUUAGCUAGUUGGUGGGGUAACGGCUCACCAAGGCGACGAUACAUAGCCGACCUGAGAGGGUGAUCGGCCACACUGAGACUGAGACACGGCCCAGACUCCUACGGGAGGCAGCAGUAGGGAAUCUUCGGCAAUGGACGGAAGUCUGACCGAGCAACGCCGCGUGAGUGAAGAAGGUUUUCGGAUCGUAAAGCUCUGUUGUAAGAGAAGAACGAGUGUGAGAGUGGAAAGUUCACACUGUGACGGUAUCUUACCAGAAAGGGACGGCUAACUACGU
rnacentral:rRNA from 1 species